AUACGUAUGUCGCAAGCGUUAUCCGGAUUUAUUGGGCGUAAAGCGCGUCUAGGCGGCUUAGUAAGUCUGAUGUGAAAAUGCGGGGCUCAACCCCGUAUUGCGUUGGAAACUGCUAAACUAGAGUACUGGAGAGGUAGGCGGAACUACAAGUGUAGAGGUGAAAUUCGUAGAUAUUUGUAGGAAUGCCGAUGGGGAAGCCAGCCUACUGGAAAGAUACUGACGCUAAAGCGCGAAAGCGUGGGUAGCAAACAGGAUUAGAUACCCUGGUAGUCCACGCCGUAAACGAUGAUUACUAGGUGUUGGGGGUCGAACCUCAGCGCCCAAGCUAACGCGAUAAGUAAUCCGCCUGGGGAGUACGUACGCAAGUAUGAAACUCAAAUGAAUUGACGGGG
rnacentral:rRNA from 1 species